rnacentral:misc_RNA from 1 species
AACCAUUCUCACCUGCGGCUAGACCUGCGGAAGGAUCAUUACCUAGAGUUGUAGGCUUUGCCUGCUAUCUCUUACCCAUGUCUUUUGAGUACCUUACGUUUCCUCGGCGGGUUCGCCCGCCGGUUGGACAAAACUUAAACCCUUUGUAGUUGCAAUCAGCGUCUGAAAAAACUUAAUAGUUACAACUUUCAACAACGGAUCU